AAGGAGCCAUGAGGCUACUCCAUUAGAUUACUCCUGCCUGUCAGAUGAUCAAGGACACUUACUUGGAGUCACACAUGAUAUUGCAGCCUGGAAUGUCUUUCACUUGACUGCAAGAACAGUAACAGUGUGACCUGCACAUGUGUAUCUCCAAACUCGAACACAGCCAGUUACUCCCAGGAUCAGGAUGCUCUUGUCUCAAAGAAGGAAAGCGGUGUGGACUUCUACCUUUGUGCUUACAGAGGAGCUAAAGAAGAAUGCAGUUCCAAAUACUAGGAGGUAAAAAGGAUGGAGAGUCUUGCUGAAUUUGGUCCACAGCCUGAGGCGAAACAUCAUUGCUACUGAGGAAAAAACCACCCCAGUUCUUCUCUUUCAAGAGCAAACCAAAACCAAUUCUCUUCUUUCAAGAACAUCCCAAGGCCUGCAUCUUUUCCAAACAAAGCACCUUCAAGUUUAAAGAUAGCUGCUGCACCGUGUGUCUCUGAGGGAGCCAUUUUUCGUCUCCAGCGUCUUCGACGGAAAGUAUCAGAAGUGCGUUGUUUCCAGUGAAAUUUCCAGCCAAUCAAGGAAGCGUAUUCCCAUCCUUCUUGAUCUUCAUAUGAUAACAUUCCCUGCAAGACAUAUAUCCUUGUUAUCCACACCAUUAUAUAAAUGUAGUGAAAAAAAAAAAUUGGUACUUGCUCUGGCAGGCAUAAUAAUCCCCUCAUAAACCAAAGUAGGAAACAUCAAUUUACAAAAAGACAAAGAAAGGGAAUAUAAUGAAAACAUACAAGAUUGCUCUAGAUUUUUGGUUUGGUGUUAAUUUUUUUCUUUAUUCAGGAAAUGGGUAAUUCAUGUGUUGAUUUGGUUUAUUUAAAAAAAAAACAACACCCAAACACCUCAAACUCUUAAAAUAUGCAGGUCUCUGACUGCAUCUGUCUUCUGCUUACCCUUCCUGCUGUUACUGCUUCAGCUGGAUCUCUCUUACGUUUCCGCACCAGCCUUCGGCGGCGGUGUGUGUGGUACAUUUUCUCUGCAGCAACCCAAGACUUCGGUUUAGUGUCUGGAGGAAUUGUAAUUCCAUAUUCCCAUCCUAAAUCAGAAUUGAUUAGUUGGUAUAUUUCCAAAAACACAACCAUAUGUAAAGAAGAAAAGCAUGGGAAAUAGAGUUUUUGUAUCUAAAGAGGAUGAAACUUUAGUCAAAACAAUAUGAUACUGCAAACCCUAAAUGCUUAGUAGCUAGGGGGCAACUGAAGACAUUUUAUGAUGAUGCUAUGUUACGACAUAGAUGACAAUAAAAAACUCAACAUGAAAACAUA